GUGGGGAAUAUUGGACAAUGGGGGGAACCCUGAUCCAGCCAUGCCGCGUGUGUGAAGAAGGCCUUUUGGUUGUAAAGCACUUUAAGCGAGGAGGAGGCUACCGAGAUUAAUACUCUUGGAUAGUGGACGUUACUCGCAGAAUAAGCACCGGCUAACUCUGUGCCAGCAGCCGCGGUAAUACAGAGGGUGCAAGCGUUAAUCGGAUUUACUGGGCGUAAAGCGCGCGUAGGUGGCCAAUUAAGUCAAAUGUGAAAGCCCCGAGCUUAACUUGGGAAUUGCAUUCGAUACUGGUAGGCUAGAGUAUGGGAGAGGAUGGUAGAAUUCCAGGUGUAGCGGUGAAAUGCGUAGAGAUCUGGAGGAAUACCGAUGGCGAAGGCAGCCAUCUGGCCUAAUACUGACACUGAGGUGCGAAAGCAUGGGGAGCAAACAGGAUUAGAUACCCGUGUAGUCC
rnacentral:rRNA from 1 species